AUGAAUGGGACCCUGAAGAAGGAGACAGAAGGCCUGAUCCUUGCAGCCCAGGAGCAAGACAUCAGGACAAAGGCAAUUAAGGCCAAGAUUGAAAAAUCAGCUGAUGACCCAAAAUGCAGACUUUGCAAGGAAACCGACGAAACCAUUGCUCAUAUCCUCAGCUGCUGUAAGAAAAUCGCACAGACAGACUACAAACAGAGGCACAACUACGUGGCCCAAAUGAUUCAUUGGAACUUAUGCCUCAAGUACCACCUCCCAGCAGCAAAGAACUGGUGGUAUCACAAACCUGCAAAAGUAUUGGAAAAUGAGCACGCAAAGAUACUGUGGGACUUCCAAAUCCAGAAUGACAAAGUUCUGGAACACAACACACCAGACAUCACAGUUGUGGAAAAGAAAAAGGUUUGGAUCAUUGAUGUCGCCAUUCCAGGUGACAGUCACAUUGACGAAAAACAACAGGAAAAACUAAGCCGCUAUCAGGACCUCAAGAUGGAACACAACACACCAGACAUCACAGUUGUGGAAAAGAAAAAGGUUUGGAUCAUUGAUGUCGCCAUCCCAGGUGACAGUCGCAUUGACGAAAAACAACAGGAAAAACUCAGCCGCUAUCAGGACCUCAAGACUGAACUUCAAAGACUCUGGCAGAAACCAGUGCAGGUGGUCCCGGUGGUGAUGGGCACAUUGGGUGCUGUGCCAAAAGAUCUCAGCCGGCAUUUGGAAACAAUAGACAUUGACAAAAUUACGAUCUGCCAAUUGCAAAAGGCCACCCUGCUGGGAUCCGAAAAUACAUCACACAGUCCUAGACACUUGGGAAGUGUUCGACUUGUGAUUUUGUGAUAUGAAAUCCAGCAUAUCUAUCUUGUUUGCUGUGUCAUAAUAAAAUAAUAAUAACAAUAAAAAAUAGUAGAUGUAUCUAUUCAUCACGUUUACAAGAAACCUGCUUUGUGAUCUUUCUAAACAUUCCACCCAUCCCUACCUUGGUCCAGCUUCUUAAUUCUGGACCAUUUAGAAAAGAGGAUGUCUUGGAAUUAAAUCACUGUAGGUAGCACACAGAGCCGGCCCUAGGUAAUUUUCAAGUGUAGGCGAACAGAAUUUUGGUGCCCCCCCAAACCAAUCGCUGAAAAAUAAAAGCGUUGGAUAAGCGAAAAUGUUGGAUAAUAAGGAGGGAUUAAGGAAAAGCCUAUUAAUCAAAUUACAUUAAGAUUUUACAAAUUAAACACCAAAACAUCAUGUUUUACAGCAAACCAACAGAAAAAGGAGUCUCAACUGCGCCCCCAUAUGUUUUGCGCCCGAAGCGACCGCUUAAUUCGCCUCAUUGUUGGACCGGCUCUGGUAGCACACAAAAGUUGGAAAGCUGGGUGUUUUUCAAAGAGCCUUCUUCAGAACUCAGGCUAUAUAAACCUGUCUUCCCAAACAAAGCAUCACUUCAAUGAAAGACAAGCCAAGGACAGAUGGUAGAAUGGAAUCCUUGGUUGCUGAUGGUUUGAACCAGCUUUGGAUUUGGAAAGGUGUAUGUACGUGGGUUGGUGAGAAGGAGAGAGCGGGUUUUGGAGCUGCCAAGAGGCAUAUGUUCGUGCUUACAGACCCAAAAAGGCAUUUAUUUGGACGAAAAACACCGGAACCUGCUCCCUUUGGAAGUAUCUUAGCAACUUCAUCAGGAGCUCCAUGACCUUGGCUUCUCGGACGCAAUGAUUCAAAGGCUGCACCUCUCUUUGCUUUUAUUUUUUCCCUGACGGAUCCCCUGGUUUGCGUUGGAGAAGGAACAGCUACCUUGUUGGCAGGGAAAUAAAUCUAACUGCCAGGCAUCUGCGGUUAUUACCAGCAGCAUAAACAAGCCUUUCAAAUAAAUAUUGAUGAAAAAUAUGCCUAUGAAUAAAUCAUCACUUCGUGCAGGGGAAAAAAAAGAGGGAAUAA
ensembl:lncRNA